rnacentral:tRNA from 1 species
GCCGGCGUAGCUCAAUGGCAGAGCGCUUGCUUCCCAAGCAAGAUACGCGGGUUCGAUUCCCGUCGCCGGCU